AGCUAAGCUGCUUAGGAUAACUCCUGAAAGCAUCUAAGGAGGAAGCCUUUCCCGAGAAAAGACAUCCUUCCGAAAGGAGGAGGGCGGCUAUAGAAGAUAGCGUUGAUGGGAUGGAGGUGUAAGCAUCAAGCUUCGGCGAGGUGUUCAGCCUGCCAUUACCAAUAGCCCAAGGCACCUGAACA
rnacentral:rRNA from 1 species